UUCCAUUUAUUUUCUAAGGCAAUAAGGCCAAAAUUUGAAGAAGCUAGCCAUUUUUGGAAAGGAAUGUGAUCACCAUUUUAUCUCCAAUCAAUUGUGAUAAAAGAAAAUAAUAAGGAAUUAAAAGAAAAUAAAAAGAGAAAAGGAAACUUACCAUUUUAUUUUGGUGAGGCUUUAUUGAGAGAAUUAAGAUAAAGGGGGAAGGAAGGGUUGGGAAGGCCAUUUGCUCUUGGAUGCCGUGAUCUAGAGAGAGGAUAGAGAGAGAGAGUGUGGUGUGUUAGAGAGAGAAGGAGAAGAAGAAAGAAAGGAAGAAAAAGAAGAAGGAGAAGGAGAAAGGAUCAAUCUUAGGAAAACCCCUAGGGUUUGAGCAAGGAGGUGGUCCUAGUUGGGUUCUUGAUUUCUAUCAAGAGAGGUAGCAAAUAGGUUUUCUCUGUGGCACGCGUGGUGAUGUGGGGAGUUCUGUCGUCUUGGUGUGUAUGGUGUGGGGGCAUCCUAUGGACGAAAACGAUCAAUUAAAAACGCCAUUUUUGUUUAAUAAUGUUAUGUUUUUAUGAGACUUUUUUUAAACUUAUCAGUGGGACUUGAAUUAUUGGUUUUUUUUAGAACAUCGCAUAAAAAUUGAUAUUUUCUUUUAAAACUAUUGGGCCCAACUUGCAUGUUUUUAAGCAAGACCCCACUGAAACCUUUAUAAUAAGUGGCUUUCUUUUAUAGACCAAUGAAAAUGUAAAUGUUUUAUUAAGUACUA